AUUGAACGCUGGCGGCAGGCCUAACACAUGCAAGUCGAGCGGAUGAAGAGAGCUUGCUCUCUGAUUCAGCGGCGGACGGGUGAGUAAUGCCUAGGAAUCUGCCUGGUAGUGGGGGACAACGUUUCGAAAGGAACGCUAAUACCGCAUACGUCCUACGGGAGAAAGCAGGGGACCUUCGGGCCUUGCGCUAUCAGAUGAGCCUAGGUCGGAUUAGCGAGUUGGUGAGGUAAUGGCUCACCAAGGCGACGAUCCGUAACUGGUCUGAGAGGAUGAUCAGUCACACUGGAACUGAGACACGGUCCAGACUCCUACGGGAGGCAGCAGUGGGGAAUAUUGGACAAUGGGCGAAAGCCUGAUCCAGCCAUGCCGCGUGUGUGAAGAAGGUCUUCGGAUUGUAAAGCACUUUAAGUUGGGAGGAAGGGCAGUAAGUUAAUACCUUGCUGUUUUGACGUUACCGACAGAAUAAGCACCGGCUAACUCUGUGCCAGCCGCCGCUGUAAAAC
rnacentral:rRNA from 1 species